rnacentral:rRNA from 1 species
UAUGGCGACCGGCGCACGGGUGAGUAACACGUAUCCAACCUGCCGAUGACUCGGGGAUAGCCUUUCGAAAGAAAGAUUAAUACCCGAUGGCAUAGUUCUUCCGCAUGGUAGAACUAUUAAAGAAUUUCGGUCAUCGAUGGGGAUGCGUUCCAUUAGGUUGUUGGCGGGGUAACGGCCCACCAAGCCUUCGAUGGAUAGGGGUUCUGAGAGGAAGGUCCCCCACAUUGGAACUGAGACACGGUCAA